rnacentral:misc_RNA from 1 species
UCUCCGUUGGUGAACCAGCGGAGGGAUCAUUACUGAGUUUACGCUCUAUAACCCUUUGUGAACAUACCUAUAACUGUUGCUUCGGCGGGUAGGGUCUCCGCGACCCUCCCGGCCUCCCGCCUCCGGGCGGGUCGGCGCCCGCCGCAGGACCAACCGCAAACCCCUCGCGAACCCAGCGGACUGAAACGAAAUUAAAUACUUCAAAACUUUCAACGACGGAUCUCUUGGUUCUGGCAUCGAUGAAGAACGCAGC